UAUUCUUUUUCCUUGCCUGUCUUAUUCAAAUUGCCAGUUUGACCAAUGUAGAAACACUGACUUAUCCAGUUGUUUCAGUUCUGUGAAGCUUCCCUAUUGCAAAGCUCUUUACAGAAAAGUUUCAAUGUGUUGAAAUAAGCGAUAAACCUUGGAGCCAGUUUCAUGUUUAAAUUCAGAAUAUGGCACUUCCUAGCAGCAGAGCUUUGGGAAAGUGACGUCACAGAGUAUUAGUUUCCUCCUCUGGCAAAUGGACAACAGUACCUAAUUUCUAGAGCAAUUACAAUGAUAGAUUGAGGUAACGCUCAUAACUGUUAGUACAGCACCUGGUGCUUAGUAGAUGCCCAGUGAAUGUAAGCUCAUGGUAUCAUUCCCUCCCUUUGCUGGACCGUGGACAAUGGCAAAGGUGGUGGGGAGCAUUUGAACCAACUCCCCAUAUAUUCCUUGGGUAUAUACUACAGGUGUAACAUUAAACCCAGUCCUCUUAGAAUACGGAGACCCAUCUUAAGGAUGAUUCUUUAGGAAAACUUAAAAGAGUGAGCAGAUUUAAACUGGUAUUUGAAAGAUGAUGAGCUUUGGUUUCAGAGGGCAAAAGGAAGUCAUUCCGCUUAUACAGUGCAUCCUGGGUGGACUCACUGGUUCUCAAUAUCCAUUCAUUCUUUCUUCCUUUUACUAAUGCACCUCCUACUACAUCCCUGUCCCUCAGUUUAGCUCAGAUGUGGCUACCUGCUACUUCUAUGACCUUUUUUUUUUCUUUGCCUCCAGGAACGACCACAUGAAUAAGUUCUGAACAAUAGGAUGUGACAAGAAGCACUGUUGUGGAUCACUUCUCAAAAUGAAUUUACUUGUUCUGUGUGUCUUCUUCCCCUCUCUUGAGGAUUGGCAUGGGAGUAUGAUGGGGAAGAGUCAUCUUUGCUCAUAAAGACAAUGGGGGAUGAUGAAGCAAUAGAAAGAAGAAACUGGGUUCCUGGUGACUUUGUUGAGCACAGCCACCCUUCCCAUCCAGACAGCCCAACAGCUCCACUCCUCCUUCCAGUUAAGCCACUGCUGUUUGAUCUCCAUUAUUACAACUAAACCAGUAUCUUCACUAAUCAUAUCCUGAGGAUGUAGGUGCAGGUGAAAAUGAGCCUAACACAUGUGGGGACAGAAAAGGAAUGGGUCUGAGUGGAAAAAAGGGAGGGUAUUUGAGAGUAAUAGGUAAAGGCAAACAGAGCACAGACUUACUUCUAGAUUCUUGAUGGGAGGAAGGCUAGGGAUUCUGAGAAGAGAGCAAAGCAAAUAAAGCCUUCCUACCCACAUGCCACCAAAAAAGCAUGGAAUAAAAUGAAAGAUAAUCCAUGGAAAAAAGCCAAGAAGACACAUUCCUCUCAUUCCAAUUCAACUCAGCAUCAGCUCAACUCAUAGGAGGAGGGCUCUAAGAACAAGGUCCAACACCAUCCUCACUAAGGGGUGGUUCUGUUUCUGUUAAUUGACCAGCUGCACAGAUGGGAAGUGAGGAUGAACUGAGGCAUCCCAGUCCAUUCUGAAUAGCCCUUUGCAAGCUCUGACUUGCACCGAUCAUAAUCACUUUUCCCUAUUGUUCUAUUUCCACCUUCUAAGGCCACAAAGAGCAAGUAGAAUCCUUGCAUAACUCUUGCUUCAAAUGACAGUCACUCCCAUGUGUGAUGGUGGCUCCCAUGGAGUCUCAUCUUAUAGAGGCAAACAACUCUUUCAUUAAGUCCUCAUAUUUAUACAUUUCUAUUUUUGUCUUUGCAGACAGAAUUCCCACCAAGGCUGUGCAGCCAUGGGCAAACAAGUUUCCUUGCCAUCCCAGCUUCUUUAUCUGAAAAAUGAAGAAGCUUGACUUUUCUAUUUACAAGUCCUCGUGUCAAAUACUUCUGGGAGGCAAGAAUGUAUACGGGGUGUUGGACAAUAGGGAAUGAUGAUAAUCGUGGUGAACUGGAAACUACAUACUUGACCUAAGGACAUUAAUGUUAAAUUUUGAGUUUUGUUUAUUGCCUGCUAGUGUUUGCUUUUUGGUAUUAAAGCUACAUUAGCCAUGUAAGCCACACCUGAAUGCUAGAUAUAGGCAAGUUUAUAAAUUCUGGUCUGAAUGAUCUUAAGGACUUCUCUAGCCCUAAAAUUCCAUUAUUCUUUUAAGGUGUCCCAUUUUACAGAGUGGACUCCAACUAGGCCUAUCUUUUGUGCCAAAGGGAGCAGAUACACCCUUGUGCUGGACAUCCUCCGUUUGCCCUUCCAGAUUGCUUUUCCAUUCUUCUCCACCUUGCUCUGUGCCCUGGAAUCUAAUUGUUAAGGACGCCAUCAAGCUGAGCUCAUUGAAUUCUGAGUUCUAGUUGGAACUGGCCAAUGAGAGUGCUAGCAUGAAACAGGCAGGUGAGAGGAGAGAAAGGUUAGCCCCUCCCUAUUUAUCUGCUGGUUGGCAGUGGCUGGGUUCCUGUAAUAAGGCCACAUCCGCUGUCUGCUGGCCUUACCCUAUGGCUACAUGUCUCAAUGGUUCAGAUAACCAUCCCUUCCUUUCCCUUUCAGGCCAAGGGACAUAACUGGCUGCCCACUGGUCAGCCUCCUGGGGCAGGCACAGAAGGGUGGAGGGAAGACCUCAUUAAAUAAAGACAUCCAGCACACCAAAACAGGCAGAAAGCAGACAUGAUAACGAGAUUGCCACCUAUUUACCUUCUUGUAACCAUAAGAAUGAGGGAAGCUUCAUUCCGACGGAGUUCGACCAAAAUAGAGAAGAAGUUGUAAGGGUACGUGUAACCACUCUAGAUUGGAUACUCCUGCAGCUAAUGAUAUGAUAAUGAGAAAAAUCAUAUGCAACUGAAGUGGAUAUUUCAAUAAAGAGUUGAGCAACAUGUGGUCUAGUUAGGACCAUCUUGGAAAGACUUUGGGAGGUAUUGGUGGAGUAGAUGUGGAGAAGAGUUAGCUUAUUCAGAGAAUUAUACUGAAAUUACUCCCUCAGAAAAACCUUGGAUCUACCAGAGCUUGUUUCUUUGCAAACUUGCUCAUAGGCCAUGUAAAUAAAACUGAAUGUCAUCUGGUGAAUGAUGAAAUGAAGGAAAUAGAAUCAGAGAGGUGGUGAGAUAUUAAAUCACAUAGGUCUGUUGGAAAAUUUUGAAAGGAGGAGCAUGUGAUUUGACUUACAUUUUAAUAGGCUUGUUCAGGAAAAUGUGUGAAGAGAUUGUACAGGGACAUGACUGGAUGUCGAGGACCAGGUAAGAAGCUAAUGCAAUAAUUUAGGCAAAAAGGAUGAUGGUAACAGUGGAGGUGGUGAGAAGUGGCCACAUCCUCAGUAUUUUUGUAAGUAAUACUAUGGAAUCAGCUGAAUAAGUGGAUAUCAGGUGUGAGAAAAGGAGUGAAAAGAAGCCCAAAGGUUUCAGCCUAAGCAAUGGAAGGAUAAAGUUGACAUUUGUUAAGGCAGGGAAGACUGUAAGUGAAGCUGUAUUUUAUCUGGGGUGAAGGGAGAAAUCAGGAGUUUGGUUUUGAACAUAUUGGCUUUGAGAUAUAUAUUAGACAUUCAAAUGGAAAUAUUAAAAAGGUUAUUGGAUAUAUACAGGUCUAGAAUUCAGUGUAGAAGUGUAUGCAGGAGACACCAAUCUGGAUAUUAGCACAUAAACAGUAUUUAAAACUACAAGACUGUAUGGGGUUACCAAAAAAGUGAGAAAAGCAGAAUCCUGGACCACACCGCAGUUCAGAGUUUGGAAAAAUGAGGAAGAGCCAGUAAAGGAAAACUGAGGAUUGGUCAACGAGGUAGAAAGAAAAACCUCUGAUGGAAUUGCAACAUGGGCAGAAACCAGAGGUAGGAAGGCAGGCAACCCUUGCAUAAAAAUAUCCACUCACCAACUGUUCACCAACUGUUCUUCCUCUUGCUGGCAUACCUUAUGCAGCAUCCUCAGAUGCCAGAGCGCGUUUCUGCUGCAGCCUCCACGAUGCCUGGGCUGAUAGCAAUCAGGUCCUGCUAUGCUUCUUUCAGGAAGAGCUGACCCCUGGAAUCUGGGCUAGACUUGCACUUGUUUUGGCCAUUGGAAUAUCAAGCUGACUUUUUGUGGGCUCUGGAGACUAGGACCUAAAAGGAGGAAUGUUGCCCCCUCAUCAUUAUGUAAAGAAGCUGGCGCAACCUGCUGGAGGAGAAUAUGCCACCUGGGGAAGAACUGAGGCACCCAGCCAACAUCCAGCACCCACCACUAGACAUGAAAACACUGGUCGGUUACUAAUGGAGAAGAAGAAAAAGCAGCAAAGACAACGAGUAUACUUGGGAUGCGAUCGCAUGCCUGGAGCAUCUGGUGGGCAGGAUUCACUCGUCCUUUCCUUUUUGAGAUUGCAAUUAAGUAGAUAAUAUGAGAGAGAACUGACAAUUGGGUUGUCCCUACUGAGCUUGGGGCCAGAGUAUUGGUUGGAAAGAGGUAAAUCAGGCACCAUUUCUCCAUGAUGUGUCAGGACCUGAAUCUGUCAUUUGCGAGCCUGACCUCAUAACUCAGCCAAGCCAAGCUGCAAGGCACCCUGGGAACCCAUCACUGAAAGACUGCAGAGGGAGGAAGGCAAGGGCAGGAAUAGCCAGCUGGUCAAGCAGCAGAGUGUCUCCUCAGCUCCCAGGAAAUGGUGUCUAAGGGUGAUGAUGAACUGGGACUUCAUCUGAGUCCAAAAUAAUGAUGCUGCUGAUGCAACAGCAGAACUUAUUAAACACUUACUACUGCAUAUGCCACUAUGAGGUAGACUUACAGAGAAUAAGUUACUCUCCCAUAAUCACACAGCCAGUAAAUGACAGAAAUGGGAUCCAAUCCAAAUAUGUUUCAUUCUAAAGCCCAUGCUCUUCACCAACAAAGCCCAACUUGAUUUAAUUUAUCCCCAAACAUACCAACAUCCAUUUGUUAGUUCCCUUCCCAAUUUAACUUUAAGCGUCUCACAUACAUACACUGUUUUUAUCCUAACAACAAGUUGGUGAGGAACUGAGCUCAGAGAGGUUAAUCCACCCACUGAAAGGCACCCAGUGUUUAAGAGCAGAGGGAGGGGCCUGACACAGGUCUUUCGGAGCAUGACAUGCAUGUUCUGUCCACAAGGCCUGUUGCUGCCUUUCCCCCAGAGGUCCAGACUGAGGACGGGACAGAGUAGAUAAAGACAGCAGUGUGAGAGGAGGCAGUGGGCAAUAUGGGGAAUCUAGGGGCAGCAGUAUGCUGGUCCCAUAUAAUCAGGCCCGGGGGAGGGGCCCAGACAGAGGGUGGCAGACUCUCUGUACUCCAGCAAGACAAUCCCAGAAGAAAUGCCAGAGAGAUCAAUGAGAAGGCCAGUCAUUUACACUGGGCACACACACAGUGUUUAGGGUACUCAGAUAGGUACCCAGGCCUCACCCCAGGCUGUUUGGACACCAGGAGUCAUAGCACUCUUCCAGGCCACAACUGCUACUUGGGGUGGGAGGAGAGGAUGAGACGUGGCAUUUGUGGAAUAAUGACUGUGGCCAAGCAGUGGGCUCUGUAUGAUGCCAUCGUCAAUUCUCACAGCAAUUCUACAACAUAGGUUUUGUUACUUCUCUCUCACGCUUUACCCUAAAUUUCUCCUGCCUACCACAGUGCUUGGCACACACAAACAGAAUAAUAAUGUGUGGAACUGACUAAUUCAUUUUCCAUUCUGCUGGUCAGGGAGAAAUUAAUAGAGGCAGAGGCUAUUAAUAAAACAUUACAUUACCUCCAAUGAGUGUGGAAUAAUUCUCUAAAAUACUGACAAUCAG
rnacentral:lncRNA from 1 species